GAAUGUAUAGCUCAGUGGUAGAGAGUAUGCUUAACAUAUACCAGGUCCUGGGUUCAAUCCCCAGUACCUCCA
rfam:Camelus ferus unplaced genomic scaffold scaffold237, whole genome shotgun sequence.